rnacentral:tRNA from 1 species
AAUUAAGUAAGCUAAUUUAAGCUAAUGAGUUCAUAUCUCACAAAUGAAAUUAUUAUAAUUC